AACGAACGCUGGCGGCAUGCCUAACACAUGCAAGUCGAACGAUUGCCUUCGGGUGAUAGUGGCGCACGGGUGCGUAACGCGUGGGAAUCUGCCCUUAGGUUCGGAAUAACAGCUGGAAAAGGCUGCUAAUACCGGAUGAUAUCGCGAGAUCAAAGAUUUAUCGCCUGAGGAUGAGCCCGCGUUGGAUUAGGUAGUUGGUGGGGUAAAGGCCUACCAAGCCGACGAUCCAUAGCUGGUCUGAGAGGAUGAUCAGCCACACUGGGACUGAGACACGGCCCAGACUCCUACGGGAGGCAGCAGUGGGGAAUAUUGGACAAUGGGCGCAAGCCUGAUCCAGCAAUGCCGCGUGAGUGAUGAAGGCCCUAGGGUUGUAAAGCUCUUUUACCCGGGAAGAUAAUGACUGUACCGGGAGAAUAAGCCCCGGCUAACUCCGUG
rnacentral:rRNA from 1 species